GAUGAACGCUGGCGGCGUGCCUAAUACAUGCAAGUCGAGCGAACGGACGAGAAGCUUGCUUUUCUGAUGUUAGCGGCGGACGGGUGAGUAACACGUGGAUAACCUACCUAUAAGACUGGGAUAACUUCGGGAAACCGGAGCUAAUACCGGAUAAUAUUUUGAACCGCAUGGUUCAAAAGUGAAAGACGGUCUUGCUGUCACUUAUAGAUGGAUCCGCGCUGCAUUAGCUAGUUGGUAAGGUAACGGCUUACCAAGGCAACGAUGCAUAGCCGACCUGAGAGGGCGAUCGGCCACACUGGAACUGAGACACGGUCCAGACUCCUACGGGAGGCAGCAGUAGGGAAUCUUCCGCAAUGGGCGAAAGCCUGACGGAGCAACGCCGCGUAAGUGAUGAAGGUCUUCGGAUCGUAAAACUCUGUUAUUAGGGAAGAACAUAUGUGUAAGUAACUGUGCACAUCUUGACGGUACCUAAUCAGAAAGCCACGGCUAACUACGUG
rnacentral:rRNA from 1 species